AUGGAAUUCCCUCCCUGCUCCACAUCCCGGGGGUUUUUCGGCACAAAAAGCUCGAAAUUCCAGGGUUUGUAUAAAAAACGGGAUUUUUCCAAGCGGGACUUUGGGGGAAAAGGAGAUUUUUCCAUAAAAAACAAAAAUCAGGGAUGGAGCAAAAAAUCAGCUCCAGCCCCGGGGGCUGCUCCGGGAAUUUGGGAAUUUUGGGGAUUUUUGGGAUUUUGGGAUCCAGGUGGGAAAUUCCUCAUUCUGGAUUUGUUUGGGUUUUUUUUUAUCCCAUCCCAAAAUCUGCUCCGGGAAUUUUGUGGGAUUGCCGGAGGUGUUAAAAAAUGGGAUUUGGGGAUUGGAAAAGUGGGAUCUGAGCCGGGAUUUUGGAGGGAAAUCCUUAAAAAAUCCGGGGGGAAAUCCCAGGAUGGGCUCGGAUUCACAAAAUCCCAAAAAAUCCUAAAAAAAAAUCCCCAAAAAAUCCCGAAAAUUCCCCAAAAAAUCCCCAAAAAAUCCCNCCGGAAUUCCCAGCGGGACACUCACGUGCGCCACGCGGAUGCCGGUGCCGAAGGUGAUCUUGCCCUUGGGCUGCACCGUGUGCAGCUUGGACAGGAUGCGCCCGGUGUCCGGGGUCAGCGUGGUCAGCACCUCGCAGUUACUGCAGGAAACGGGAAUGGGAGCGGAUUCACACCCGGGCUUUGGGGCAGGAGGGAAUCACCCCCUUGGGACCUGGGAAACUCCCCCUGGAUUUCAGGAAAUUCCCCCUGGAUUCAGGAAAUUGCCCCUUGGGACUCGGGAAAUUCCCCCUGGAUUUCAGGAAAUUCCCCCUGGAUUCCAGAAAUUCCCCCUGGAUUCAGGAAAUCCCCCGGGAUUCAGGAAAUCCCCCCUGGAUUCAGGAAAUUCCCCCUGGAUUCAGUAAAUUCCCCUUGGAUUCAGGAAAUUCCCCUGGAUUCAGGAAAUUCCCCCCUGGAUUCAGGAAAUUCCCCCCUGGAUUCAGGAAAUUCCCCCCCUGGAUUCAGGAAAUUCCCCUUGGAUUCAGGAAAUCCCCCUGGAUUCAGGAAAUUCCCCCCUGGAUUCAGUAAAUCCCCCUGGAUUCAGUAA
rnacentral:lncRNA from 1 species